rnacentral:tRNA from 1 species
AAAAUCCGUCGACUUUAAAAAUCGUGAGGGUUCANNUCCCUCUAUCCCCA